GAUGAACGCUAGCUACAGGCUUAACACAUGCAAGUCGAGGGGCAGCGGGAUUGAAGCUUGCUUCAAUUGCCGGCGACCGGCGCACGGGUGAGUAACGCGUAUCCAACCUUCCGUACACUCAGGGAUAGCCUUUCGAAAGAAAGAUUAAUACCUGAUGGUAUGAUGAGAUUGCAUGAUAGCAUCAUUAAAGAUUUAUCGGUGUACGAUGGGGAUGCGUUCCAUUAGGUAGUAGGCGGGGUAACGGCCCACCUAGCCGACGAUGGAUAGGGGUUCUGAGAGGAAGGUCCCCCACAUUGGAACUGAGACACGGUCCAAACUCCUACGGGAGGCAGCAGUGAGGAAUAUUGGUCAAUGGACGAGAGUCUGAACCAGCCAAGUAGCGUGAAGGAUGAAGGUCCUACGGAUUGUAAACUUCUUUAUAAGGGAAUAAACCCUCCACGUGUGGGAGCUUGUAUGUACCUUANGAAUAAGCAUCGGCUAACUCCGUGCCAGCAGCCG
rnacentral:rRNA from 1 species